rnacentral:rRNA from 1 species
GACGAACGCUGGCGGCGUGCUUAACACAUGCAAGUCGAACGGAAAGGCCCCCAUCUUGGUGGGGGUGCUCGAGUGGCGAACGGGUGAGUAACACGUGGGUGAUCUGCCCUGUACUUCGGGAUAAGCUUGGGAAACUGGGUCUAAUACCGGAUAGGACCAUGGUUUAGUGUCUCAUGGUGGAAAGAUUAUUGUUUUGGUGCAGGAUGAGCUCGCGGCCUAUCAGCUUGUUGGUGGGGUAAUGGCCUACCAAGGCGUCGACGGGUAGCCGGCCUGAGAGGGUGGACGGCCACAUUGGGACUGAGAUACGGCCCAGACGGCUACGGGAGGCAGCAGUGGGGGAUAUAGCACAAUGGGCGCAAGCCUGAUGCAGCGACGCCGCGUGGGGGAUGACGGCCUUCGGGUUGUAAGCUCCUUUCGUUAGGGACGAAGCCACGCUUUUGGGGUGUGGUGACGGUACCUUUGUGAAGAAGCACCGGCUAACUACGUG